rnacentral:misc_RNA from 1 species
GUAACAUGCAUGGCUAAGCUUACUGGAUACUGGUUCUUGACAAGGAAAAGUGUCAUCAGCAACACUUGCUUGAAGCAGAAAGAGAGAGAGAAAACUGAAUUUGCGGCUUUUGGUGGUGUCUUUUGUCAUUUUAUAGGCAGUUCAUCUACAAUUUUCUCUUUCAAGUACUUUCUUUGGAGUUUCUGUUGAGUCCGGAUUACUGUCAUUCUUGGUCUUGGUUGGG